rnacentral:piRNA from 1 species
UUAAGUAAUGAUGGAUCCCCACUUUGAGU